GUACACCUGUGUGCAUGAAACAGGCAUGGGUCUCUUCAUACCAUUUACACGUUCGUUGCCCCUCGUUGCCCUCUGUCAACUCUGUCUGAAGAAAUCGGAAAGUUCACGAAGCGUGUAAUGUAAGUCAAUGGUCGGAUAGAAUGCAAGAGGUGUUCUAUAUGUGCACAACCACUCCCGAAUUGCCGAUCCUAUAAACUCGGGAUCAAUUAAUCUAUUACGUAACGUGUAUACCAUUCAGAGUAAGUAAUUACAAACUUUUGUCGUUAAUUAAACGCGCCGGGCGUAACGCUCGAAUUCCUCGUGUCACUUGUAAACAUUCCGUUCGAAUAGUUUCAGCGUAAUCUGUUUUCUUUUAUAAUAAAUUCAAAUACUUCCGCUGUGCAUAAUUUUUCAAAGGCAUGGAUUAUUUCUUGACACGUUUUCAAGACAAGAUGUGGUCUCAGGAACGGAAAUUGGUCGUUUACUAAGUGCAGCAUUUAAUACCUGGAGUAUGACUGGACUAGUUUCGCCUGACUUGAUGGCCUAAACUGGCGAGCACUUAGGAGAUUAAUCGUCAUUAAUUAAUGUAUGUUCUCUGCUAUCUGUAAAUUUUCAUUGUUAUCAAAAAAUAUAUAUUUGUUUUAACAUGAACUAUGAAUAAACAAUCCCAGAAUAUAAGUAUAUAAACUCAGAAAUAAAAGAUAGAGAAAAUACAAAUCAGUUUCAUUUGUUUUUCAACUUUAUGAUAGUCAAUUAUCUACAACUUAUGGUACUCCAAAAUUGGCGCCAGUAACGGUAGGCU
rnacentral:misc_RNA from 1 species